GACGUAGGGCGCGAGCGUUGUCCGGAUUUAUUGGGCGUAAAGAGCUUGUAGGCGGUUUGUCGCGUCUGCUGUGAAAUUUCGGGGCUCAACCCCGAACUUGCAGUGGGUACGGGCAGACUAGAGUGUGGUAGGGGAGACUGGAAUUCCUGGUGUAGCGGUGAAAUGCGCAGAUAUCAGGAGGAACACCGGUGGCGAAGGCGGAUCUCUGGGCCAUUACUGACGCUGAGGAGCGAAAGCGUGGGGAGCGAACAGG
rnacentral:rRNA from 1 species